rnacentral:rRNA from 1 species
AACGAACGCUGGCGGCAUGCCUAACACAUGCGAGUCGAACGAACCCUUCGGGGUUAGUGGCGCACGGGUGCGUAACGCGUGGGGAUCUGCCCUUUGCUUCGGAAUAACUCAGGGAAACUUGUGCUAAUACCGGAUGAUGUCUUCGGACCAAAGAUUUAUCGGCAAGGGAUGAGCCCGCGUAGGAUUAGGUAGUUGGUGGGGUAAAGGCCUACCAAGCCGACGAUCCUUAGCUGGUCUGAGAGGAUGAUCAGCCACACUGGGACUGAGACACGGCCCAGACUCCUACGGGAGGCAGCAGUGGGGAAUAUUGGACAAUGGGCGCAAGCCUGAUCCAGCAAUGCCGCGUGAGUGAUGAAGGCCCUCGGGUCGUAAAGCUCUUUUACCAGGGAUGAUAAUGGCAGUACCUGGAGAAUAAGCGCCGGCUAACUCCGUG